rnacentral:rRNA from 1 species
CCUACGGGAGGCAGCAGUGGGGAAUUUUGGACAAUGGGCGCAAGCCUGAUCCAGCAAUGCCGCGUGAGUGAAGAAGGCCUUCGGGUUGUAAAGCUCUUUUGUCAGGGAAGAAACGGUCUACUCUAAUACAGUGGGCUAAUGACGGUACCUGAAGAAUAAGCACCGGCUAACUACGUGCCAGCAGCCGCGGUAAUACGUAGGGUGCAAGCGUUAAUCGGAAUUACUGGGCGUAAAGCGUGCGCAGGCGGUUAUAUAAGUCAGAUGUGAAAUCCCCGGGCUCAACCUGGGAACUGCAUUUGAGACUGUAUGGCUAGAGUGUGUCAGAGGGGGGUAGAAUUCCACGUGUAGCAGUGAAAUGCGUAGAUAUGUGGAGGAAUACCGAUGGCGAAGGCAGCCCCCUGGGAUAACACUGACGCUCAUGCACGAAAGCGUGGGGAGCAAACAGGAUUAGAUACCCUGGUAGUCCACGCCCUAAACGAUGUCUACUAGUUGUCGGGACUUAAUUGUCUUGGUAACGCAGCUAACGCGUGAAGUAGACCGCCUGGGGAAGUACGGUCGCAAGNUUAAAACUUCAAAGGAAUUGAGGCUUGGAGAGNGCGAGACGACGACGAGGGAGAGG